UGGGGAAUAUUGCACAAUGGGCGCAAGCCUGAUGCAGCCAUGCCGCGUGUGUGAAGAAGGCCUUCGGGUUGUAAAGCACUUUCAGCGAGGAGGAAGGGUAGUGUGUUAAUAGCACAUUGCAUUGACGUUACUCGCAGAAGAAGCACCGGCUAACUCCGUGCCAGCAGCCGCGGUAAUACGGAGGGUGCAAGCGUUAAUCGGAAUUACUGGGCGUAAAGCGCACGCAGGCGGUUUGUUAAGUCAGAUGUGAAAUCCCCGCGCUUAACGUGGGAACUGCAUUUGAAACUGGCAAGCUAGAGUCUUGUAGAGGGGGGUAGAAUUCCAGGUGUAGCGGUGAAAUGCGUAGAGAUCUGGAGGAAUACCGGUGGCGAAGGCGGCCCCCUGGACAAAGACUGACGCUCAGGUGCGAAAGCGUGGGGA
rnacentral:rRNA from 1 species